rnacentral:lncRNA from 10 species
CCACAGGUGUCACAUGCCAUUCUUCUGAUUUUCAUGAAUAUCCUCUAAAAGGCAGCUAAGCACUCGCUGUCUUCUUCCUUUUGCCUCAUCAAGCACGGGGGACGCUGGAAGGAAGAGGCUCCAGGGACCUACCUGACUUCCUAUUCAUGCUGAUCCCACUGAGACCCUUAUCAACCCUGACCUGUUCCCCAUGUGCCUCUUGGAUCUGCCUUAUGUUCCAGGUAAUGAAGCUGAUGCUUAGAGAGGUUGAGUAAUCCACCCAUGUCUCUCUGACCCAGGUCUGACCACCAUACUAUU